rnacentral:rRNA from 1 species
CAACCGUAGACUUGCCAUUGAUACUGGUACACUUGAAUGUAGUUGAGGUAGGCGGAAUGUGUAAUGUAGCGGUGAAAUGCUUAGAUAUUACACAGAACACCGAUUGCGAAGGCAGCUUACUAAACUAUGAUUGACGCUGAGGCACGAAAGCGUGGGGAGCGAACAGGAUUAGAUACCCUGGUAGUCCACGCUGUAAACUAUGAUCACUGGUUGUUGGCAAUAUACCGUCAGCGACUGAGCGAAAGCAUUAAGUGAUCCACCUGGGGAGUACGUCGGCAACGAUGAAACUCAAAGGAAUUGACGGGGGCCCGCACAAGCGGAGGAACAUGUGGUUUAAUUCGAUGAUACGCGAGGAACCUUACCUGGGCUUAAAUGUAGAGUGCAUAGAGUGGAAACAUUCUUUUCCUUCGGGACUCUUUACAAGGUGCUGCAUGGUUGUCGUCAGCUCGUGCCGUGAGGUGUCGGGUUAAGUCCCAUAACGAGCGCAACCCUUGUCGUUAGUUGCUAGCAGGUCAAGCUGAGGACUCUAACGAGACUGCCGGUGUAAACCGAGAGGAAGGUGGGGAUGACGUCAAAUCAGCACGGCCCUUAUGUCCAGGGCUACACACGUGUUACAAUGGCCAGUACAAGGAGCAGCCACCUGGCAACAGGGCGCUAAUCUCAAAAGCUGGUCACAGUUCGGAUCGGAGUCUGCAACUCGACUUCGUGCAGGUGGAUUCGCUAGUAAUCGCGCAUCAGCCACGGCGCGGUGAAUACGUUCCCGGGCCUUGACACACCGCCCGUCAAGCCAUGGAAGCUGGGGGUACCUGAAGUCCGUAAC